UCAACCUCAAACUCCAUUUCGAGACUUCAGGUUCGUCCAAGGAAAAAACCCUAACAACGCCUAACCGCCCUUCCAAUUUUUUUUUUAAAAGAUGUGUGAGAGAAGAUCAAUCUGCUGUCACAGGCAAAAUGUGUUAUCUAUAUAAUGGAAGUGCAAGACGUGGAUUCCGGUGAGGAACUACAGUUUAGCAUGAUUGAACUUGUUUGACUUGACUGAGCAAAGCAAUGAAUCUGAUCAUGCUCCGAGAUUGUUUAGAAGAAGCAAUUUGGAUAAGUCAUGACAUCAGCUGAUUGAUUCUGAUGGACUUCCAUUUGUGGCGCAGGUCCGGUCCCAUCAAGGGGAGAAAGCGUGGAGGAGGUAGCUGAAUUUUGGAGAAAUGAAACGAGACUCACUCCUUGCUCAUGGAGCAGCAUAUUUAUUGCAUUGAUAGACUCCAUAUGAGCUCUGGUCAUCGCAUUGCAGAUGUGUUUUCUGAAUGUGGAGCAUCACUCAUCCGACUACCAAAAUAAGCUGUGCAGUAAAUUGUUGGUCUGCCACCUGCUAGAGAACCCAAAGAGGUAACUUGUCGUGCUUGCCAGAUAAGUUAGGAAAUUGGAGGCUGUUGAAAUGUCUUACAUGUUCAGAUAUCUAGUGGUUAAACUGGAAGCCAUGAACAUCAAGAUGACCCUUACACUAAGUAACAGCGCUGGUGCUUGAUAUGUGUUUCAGGAAGUUGAUAUGAUCUGUCCAAUAGCAACUAGGAGCUUGACAUCCAUUUCUUCCUAUGACUGUACUCUUCCACUGUGCAAAUGCCCAAGAAAGGUUUUGCAGCAUCGGAUAACUUGAUUCUGGCAAUGGUUGAUUGAGUUUAGACAUCAAAAGGCUACCAAGAUAAAAAGUGUGCUGCAUAUAAGACAUGGUUCUUGUCAUCACUAUAGUGCAGUGUGGGGGCAAAAUAUAGAGGCAGAUCCAGGAUUUGAAUUUGAUGGGUUCAACAUUUUAAAGUUCUUACCGAUGAACCCGUUGCACUUUUAAAUUUAUGGGUUCAGAGUUUAAUACUUGUUGGCAAUGUAAUAAUUUUCACAAGCACAUCUCUACUCUUGCGUAACAAAUGAUCGGUUCAGUUGAACCCAUCAAAUAUAUAGUGCAUCCGCCUCGGGCAAAUUUUGGAGAA